rnacentral:rRNA from 1 species
GUCGAACGGAGCUUAGAGAGCUUGCUUUUUAAGCUUAGUGGCGAACGGGUGAGUAACGCGUGAGUAACCUGCCCUAGAGUGGGGGACAACAGUUGGAAACGACUGCUAAUACCGCAUAAGCCCACGGUACCGCAUGGUACUGAGGGAAAAGGAUUUAUUCGCUUUAGGAUGGACUCGCGUCCAAUUAGCUAGUUGGUGAGGUAACGGCCCACCAAGGCGACGAUUGGUAGCCGGACUGAGAGGUUGAACGGCCACAUUGGGACUGAGACACGGCCCAGACUCCUACGGGAGGCAGCAGUGGGGGAUAUUGCACAAUGGGGGAAACCCUGAUGCAGCGACGCCGCGUGGAGGAAGAAGGUUUUCGGAUUGUAAACUCCUGUCGUUAGGGACGAUAAUGACGGUACCUAACAAGAAAGCACCGGCUAACUACGUGCCAGCAGCCGCGGUAAAACGUAGGGUGCAAGCGUUGUCCGGAAUUACUGGGUGUAAAGGGAGCGCAGGCGGGAAGACAAGUUGGAAGUGAAAACCAUGGGCUCAACCCAUGAAUUGCUUUCAAAACUGUUUUUCUUGAGUAGUGCAGAGGUAGAUGGAAUUCCCGGUGUAGCGGUGGAAUGCGUAGAUAUCGGGAGGAACACCAGUGGCGAAGGCGGUCUACUGGGCACCAACUGACGCUGAGGCUCGAAAGCAUGGGUAGCAAACAGGAUUAGAUACCCUGGUAGUCCAUGCCGUAAACGAUGAUUACUAGGUGUUGGGGGAUUGACCCCCUCAGUGCCGCAGUUAACACAAUAAGUAAUCCACCUGGGGAGUACGACCGCAAGGUUGAAACUCAAAGGAAUUGACGGGG